UCUCCUGGAAACGGGUGGUAAUGCCGGAUGCUCCGACUCCUCGCAUGGGGUGUCGGGAAAGAUUUCAUCGGUAUGGGAUGGGGUCGCGUCCUAUCAGGUAGUCGGCGGGGUAACGGCCCACCGAGCCUACGACGGGUAGCCGGCCUGAGAGGGCGACCGGCCACAUUGGGACUGAGAUACGGCCCAGACUCCUACGGGAGGCAGCAGUGGGGAAUAUUGCACAAUGGGCGCAAGCCUGAUGCAGCGACGCCGCGUGCGGGAUGACGGCCUUCGGGUUGUAAACCGCUUUUGAUCGGGAGCAAGCCUUCGGGUGAGUGUACCUUUCGAAUAAGCACCGGCUAACUACGUGCCAGCAGCCGCGGUAAUACGUAGGGUGCAAGCGUUAUCCGGAAUUAUUGGGCGUAAAGGGCUCGUAGGCGGUUCGUCGCGUCCGGUGUGAAAGUCCAUCGCUUAACGGUGGAUCUGCGCCGGGUACGGGCGGGCUGGAGUGCGGUAGGGGAGACUGGAAUUCCCGGUGUAACGGUGGAAUGUGUAGAUAUCGGGGAGAACACGA
rnacentral:rRNA from 1 species